UACGAACGCUGGCGGCGUGCUUAACCCAUGCAAGUCGAACGGAAAGGCCCUGCUUUUGUGGGGUGCUCGAGUUGCGAACGGGUGAGUAACCCGUGAGUAACCUGCCCUUGACUUUGGGUUAACUUCAGGAAACUGGGGCUAAUACCGGAUAGGAGCUCCUGCUGCAUGGUGGGGGUUGGAAAGUUUCGGCGGUUGGGGAUGGACUCGCGGCUUAUCAGCUUGUUGGUGGGGUAGUGGCUUACCACGGCUUUGACGGGUAGCCGGCCUGAGAGGUUGACCGGCCACAUUGGGACUGAGAUACGGCCCAGACUCCUACGGGAGGCAGCAGUGGGGAAUAUUGCACAAUGGGCUGAAGCCUGAUGCAGCAACGCCGCGUGCGGGAUGACGGCCUUCGGGUUGUAAACCGCUUUCGCCUGUGACGAAGCGUGAGUGACGGUAAUGGGUAAAGAAGCACCGGCUAACUACGUG
rnacentral:rRNA from 1 species